CUGCCGGCGACCGGCGCACGGGCGAGGAACACGUAUGCAACCUGCCCUCCGCAGGGGGAUAACCCGGAGAAAUCCGGACUAAUACCGCGUGGUACAUCUGUGGGGCAUCCCACGGGUGUUAAAAGGAAGCGAUUCCGGCGGAGGAUGGGCAUGCGGCGCAUUAGCUAGUUGGCGGGGUAACGGCCCACCAAGGCGACGAUGCGUAGGGGUUCUGAGAGGAAGGUCCCCCACACUGGUACUGAGACACGGACCAGACUCCUACGGGAGGCAGCAG
rnacentral:rRNA from 1 species